UCUAAAUUCGCCAGUAACACCACCUUGUAUAAAUUCGCCUUGGUCGGAGGUGUUAAAAAUGAUUCUCACAAAUACGUGCUGUUGGUGGCAAAGACAUGUGGCAAGCUAGUUCCCACGUUUUUUUUUUUUACAUAUUCGUCGUUCGGUACGAUGAACACGUAGUCACCGCACUUCGCACUCUUACAUAAAAAACACGUAUGCGGCAUUAUUAGUUUGCUCAAAAAACUA